rnacentral:rRNA from 1 species
AUUGUGUGAAUACAUAGCACAUUCGAGGUAGACGCAGAGAACUGAAACAUCUAAGUACCUGCAGGAAGAGAAAGAAAAUUCGAUUCCCUGAGUAGCGGCGAGCGAAACGGGAAAAGCCCAAACCAGCAAGCUUGCUUGUUGGGGUUGUAGGACUCCAAUAUGGUAGUUCUUUCAGAUAGUCGAAUGACUUGGAAAAGUCAGUCAAAGAGGGUAAAAACCCCGUAGACGAAAUGUGGAAGACACCUAGGAGGAUCCUGAGUACGGCGGAACACGAGAAAUUCCGUCGGAAUCCGGGAGGACCAUCUCCCAAGGCUAAAUACUCCCUAGUGACCGAUAGUGAACCAGUACCGUGAGGGAAAGGUGAAAAGCACCCCGGAAGGGGAGUGAAAUAGAACCUGAAACCGUGUGCCUACAACAAGUCAAAGCCCGUUAAUGGGUGAUGGCGUGCCUUUUGUAGAAUGAACCGGCGAGUUACGAUUGCAUGCGAGGUUAAGUUGAAGAGACGGAGCCGCAGCGAAAGCGAGUCUGAAUAGGGCGUUUGAGUAUGUAGUCGUAGACCCGAAACCAUGUGAUCUACCCAUGUCCAGGUUGAAGGUGCGGUAAAACGCACUGGAGGACCGAACCCACGUACGUUGAAAAGUGCGGGGAUGAGGUGUGGGUAGCGGAGAAAUUCCAAACGAACUUGGAGAUAGCUGGUUCUCUCCGAAAUAGCUUUAGGGCUAGCCUCGGAAUUGAGAAUGAUGGAGGUAGAGCACUGUUUGGACUAGGGGCCCAUCUCGGGUUACCGAAUUCAGAUAAACUCCGAAUGCCAUUCAUUCAUAUCCGGGAGUCAGACUGUGAGUGAUAAGAUCCAUAGUCGAAAGGGA